AAAAAACUACACAUGGGAGGAGCUUUACACAUUACUGUAGAUUAUUAUUUUUAUUAUUAUUGAAUAUUACAGAGGACAACAAAUAUAAUUUAUUUACAAUUGUAUGACUCUAGACAGCAAUGUACUGCACAAAACGACUCGUAAAAACAUGUUAGAAUUAACUUAUUUAACCUUUUUGAUACCGUAUAUCAAAAUCAAUAGGUUACUGACAAAGUGAAAAAUACAUUUAAAGAGUAGACCAAGCAUUCUGUAAUUAUCUCAUCCAUCCCAUAUGCACAGUAAUGUUACACACUAAAUAGUUUGACAUGUAUAUUUUGUUCAUAUUUUGGAGGCCUAACCUGUAACGUACAGUAUUUAAAUAUGACCUAAAUGUGCCAUCUAGUGGUUGUAAAGGAGAAGAAAACACUGCAUUGGAAAUGUAAGCUACUAUUUAUAUAGCGAAUUUGUAAUGGCGUCUUUUUACAGGCACUAACUACGCCAUUCGUUGGACAAAGCCUAUGGGGGAAAUUAAUGGCGUUUUUGUAGGGUUUUUGGAUAAACGCCGAAAAUAUGGUUUGUGAACACAGGCUCAUAUUAUGAGAUAAUCUUCAUCAGCUAACGUCACCUUUUGUGAAUUUUGAAGAAUGUAAUGUGUAACCUUUAACUAGGCAAGCCAGUUAAGAACACAUUCUUAUUUACAAUGGACGUUGUAAAUAUGGACGACGCUGGGCCAAUUGUGGGACUCCCAAUCACGGCCGAUUGUGAAACAGCCUGGACACAAACUAGGGUGUCUGUUGUGACGCCUCAAUAGACAAUGGACCUGACAGCUCAGAGCUUCUGCUCUUUUCUGUCCAUAAAAAACAAAUGGAUUGGUGGAAGGGGAAGGCCAGGAGCAAGGAAGGCUGGAGUGGUCGAGCAAGGCAUCCCCCAAGGCUAUAUGCCCUAAGGUUUUUAUCAGAACAGGCGUAGAUUAGUCUCACCAUUUUCUUUUCCCGACAUGAGUUUGUUGUGUAAAAAAUAAAUUAUAGCUCACAACUGUGCGGGGCGAGAGGGUGGGGGCGCUAAGGAUGCAGUGCCUUACAUGCUGACCAGACCGGAGCGUCGCAAAAUAAAUGUGGAAAUCCAUGUUAUUCAAUUAUUGAACCCACACUGCUCGCGCGCGCCAACGAGCGUCUGCGUUACCAAGGGCUUACACCUUGCCCAACGCUUCGAACACACCGACUGCGUUUUGCAUCACUGCUGCAUAACAUUUUUGCGCAGCUAGGCAACUAUACUGAUACAGGUACCUUUUGCAGAUGGUCGCAUGCGGUUGGACACAAGGAGAGAAUCAUUUUCGCAGUAUCCUCAAAACCGUGUCUUUUUGACACAACUGCUGACAGCUACAGGGACAUAAACACAAAAAAUGCAGCUUGGAGACAAGUGUCUACGAUAGUAGGAUUGUCAGUUUAGUUGUGAGUUUGUGCUAGAUGUGGCUAGUUAGCGUUAGCUAGCUAACCUAGCUUGCUAACCUAGCCAAUGAGGUGUGUGUGUGAAAGAAAUAGUCAAAUAAAUUAUGCUAGUUACUACCCCUGAUAACUUUACGAAAUAAUAAUGUUUGAAAGUGUCAGUGUGUAUGCUAGAUUAAUAGAAAUGGUAGAUACUACUGUACCCCUGAUAAUUUGGUCAGAUAACUCACACACACACACACACACACACACACACACACACACACACAGUUAUCAUGGACAUGUCACAAUCUAAUAACUAUAGUUAUGCUAGGUAAUGGUUUGGCUUAUCAUGUUCAUGUCUAUGUAGAAGACUGUUGGAGGAAGUGAAGAGGACUCAGGGACAGGUAUCAGAGCGAGAAGGGCAGAGAAAGAGAAGAAGAGGUCUGGGUCAGCAGCUUCAGGCCAGCAGCCUUGGCACUUCUGCCACAUUCUUUCUUUUCUGGAUCCAUUUAUUGUGCAAUGAGUGGCAAUUUUACAGCCAGACCCUCUACUACGUCAUCCACAAGUGUUGUCGCCACCGGUGCAUCAAGACCUUCAACGUCACCUACAAGUGCGACCAUCGCCUCCACCGGUGCAGCGAAACCCUCUACAACGUCUACAUCAUCCACGAGUAUGACCACCACCGGUGCAAUCAUGGAAGAUGAGGAAAUGGGAGGAAGCACCUCUGGAUCUAGGACCACCUGAGAUUAUUAUGAACCUCGCGGAAGUGACCACUGAGGACCUCGUUGAACUGGAUGUGGCCGUGGAGAGGAACAGAGAGAAACGAAGAGGAAUAGCGUCACACCAGGCGUCAUCGGAGGUACCAGCCCCCAGAUCCACUCAACUAAUUUCAGCAGAGGCUCCUCCAAGCCGUUCGAGAGGGAUGCAUCCCAACCUGAUGCUCACAGGAAGGAGGAUGAGGAGACCCUCUUUGCCAUGAGCCUGGUGCCAACACUGAAGAGGCUGCCUCCAGCAAAGAAAAGCAGCAGUAAAGGUUAAAAUGUAUCAGCUGCUUUUCGAUGACAAGUUCAUGGAAAUGGAGUCAAUUUAGCCGACCAGCUCACAGGAAGGACAGGAAGAGGAGAGGAAGGACAGGAAGAGGAGAGGAAGGACAGGAAGAGGAGAGGAAGGACAGGAAGAGGAUAGGAAGGACAGGAAGAGGACAGGAAGAGGAGAGGAAGGACAGGAAGAGGAGAGGAAGGACAGGAAGAGGAGAGGAAGGACAGGAAGAGGAGAGGAAGGACAGGAAGAGGAGAGGAAGGACAGGAAGAGGACAAUAAGGACAGGAAGUUGUCUGGUGUUGUUUUGACCUCCCUCAUUGUACCUUUCUUUUCACACACGUCAGUUCUGUUUAAAUUCAGUCAAUUCAUAAAGUAAUUUGUUUAUAAAGUCUUAGGAUAGCAUUCAUUAUUAGUGUUACAUAGAUUUCUGAAUUGACAGACAGAAUUGAAACUCAUACACCGGAGAAUUCACAGAUGCUCUUGUUGGUUUUUUACGAGACUAAAGGUGAAUAUAUUUCUUUCAUUGAAAACCAGGGUGUUGAAACUGUUUGUGAAGUUAUGUUCCAUCGAUGGGUCAAUGACGUCCAAGGGCCAUUUGUUUGUUUAGCUGUGUUAUGGCUACACAUUAUUACAUUUUUUCCAGAGACAGAGACACACACACACCUCUUCUCCACUCCUCUCUGUGCCUCAGAUCUCCAGCGCCCUGCCCUCUCUCUUAAUGGCCAUGUCUGAAGUUCCCCUACUACGUUUAGGCUUUAUGAGUAGUCCCUGUAUCGGUCUGCAGUUGUGCCAAAAAUACAUGCUCUUGUUGUUCUUACAGAUUACAGGCUACACAUUCAUUUUAUUUAUUUUUUACACAUACACACCUCUUUCAAUAGUUCUAUUUUUAAAAACAUUUUUACAACACACAUACCUGUCAUGUUCUUUCCUGUAGUUGAAUACUAAUUAAAUUAUGUUUUCAUAGUCAGUUGUUUAUUAAUAUCUCAUUUAGACUUAAUCUGCUUGUUUUCUUGAUGAAAGUAAAAAACAUUCUCUUCCCUAAUUUGUUUUUUUCCACCUGUAUUUUGUCAGGCCAGUGAACAUUGUGGUAAACUGUACUAUUUGAAUGGACCCUAGGUUACCCUUUCCCAUCAUACUAACUGUAUGUCAUAUAACCUUAAUUAGUGCCCCAGGUGUGUAUAAUACUGACGUUAAUGGGAGAGGGAAGGGGUUUUAAGGUGUGGUCUUUACUCCAAAAUGUCACUUAAAUAUAGCUUCCAAAUGAAGAGAGACAAUGAUACAUAAAGUAAUCUAGGGAAAAAAUGCUACUUUAUGGACAACGGUGAAUGGUUCAUAAAAUAACCUUUGUGGGAGGGGGCUCUUAAAAGAGCAGUUUCACUCCACGGCAUACUGCUAUGGGACUUCACUUGCUGGCGAUGAGAAGUAGGUGGUAAGCUUCUCCCUCACCUGGAGUGCCUGACUUGGGGCAUUGUUGGCACUUGCCCUGGUGACAUCAGGUACAGGACCAUUUGGCGUGCCUAUCUCCACCCCGAGCGGCUCCUGGAAUGACCUCUGCAUGUAGUUAUAGAGAACACAUGUGGCCUUCACGCAGGCAUCAACAUUUGAGGGGCUGAGACCAAGCACUCUCCAAUACAUUCUCCACCGGGCUGCCAGAAUCCCAAAGGCGCAUUUAACAACUAGCCUUGCCCUGGACAAUCGUUUGUUAAAGAUCCUUACAGGCUUUGGCAAUGGCAGCUGGCGUCCAGCGUAGGGCCUCAUGAGGUUGGGUCUUAAAGGGAAUGCCUCGUCGCUGACGAAGAUGUGGGGAACAGGUCUUCAGCUCCAGGGAGUGAUGCAGGUGGUGGAAUCUCCAGGGUGCCAUUCUGAAGUGCCUGGCCGAAGGCAGAGUGGGGAAAUUCCACCUCUCCAGGAACUCGGCAGCGAUGGCCCUCCAGUCUUCCUCCUUGGGAACAGGCAUGUAUUCACCAACCAGACAGUCCCAAAUGGCUUGUGCCACAGAGGGGACAAUGCCUGCCACUGUGGACCGUCCAACUCGAAAGCUGAAUCCAAUGGUCCUGUAGGAGUCCCCUGUCGCCAAGAAUCUAAAAUAUAAUUCAAAAUAAUUAUCAAUAUUGCUUGUAACUUGAAUUCCACCCACAUAUUAUAUCUACUCAUAUAUCUAUCAUUACAGUUUAUUAUGCUCUACUAAUUAUAUUGUAAUACUCAAUUCCACCCACAUAUUAUAUCUACUCAUAUAUCUAUCUCAUUACAGUUUAUUAUGCUCUACUAAUUAUAUUGUAAUACUCAUCAACCAUCAUUAACAAUGCCUUGAAACACUACAAUUCAGUCUAUGACUGUAUCAAUAAACUGUAGCCCAGGCCAACUCUACUCUUAGAAAGAAUGGUACUAUCUACUUAAAAGGGUUCUCCGGCUGUCCCCAUAGGAGAUCCUUUUUGGUUCCAGGUAGUACCCCUUUUGGUUCCAUGUAGAACCCUAUUGGGUUCCAUGCAUAACAUUUUCCCCAAAGGGUUAUACCUGGAACCAAAAAAGGUUAUCCUAUGAGGAAAGCAGAAGGACACUUUUGGAACCUUUUUCUCUAAGAGUGUAUGUGAGUCCAAUAAGAAUGUAAUGAAUGACUGUAACUGUCUUGAACAACAAUGGGUCGUGGAGAAGACUACCCUACCUUCAUCAGGACAGAAGGCACCUCAACUUUAUUUUCAUUUGGUAACAUUGCAUAAUUAAAAAAGGAUUAUAAACCAACUUUGGGAAAAGUUAUAGUCCUAAUGAACAUUCUGUAAAAGUACAUCUGAUAUCAAAAAGGAACUAUUAACCAGAGAGCCCUUUAGCUAGCUAGGUUGCACAUAAAAACAAUGUAUCAAUCAAUUAUGGUAUCAAAGGCUAUAAAAAUGUACUAGAAUGUAGCUUACCGGAGACAAAUCACCAGGCGUUCAACUCAGCUGAUGGACAUCCGGUAGUUGGUAUCCAUCCGGGCGAUCCUGGCUCCAACCAUCUGGAGCAGGUGAUCGAACUGGCUUCGGUCCAGACAAACGUAACUUCGAAAUUACUCUCCAAACAUUCGAAGCUCUUGAAUGAGACGGUGGAACUUCCCUGCCUGCUUUCGGGACUUGAACCAUCUCUGGAACCACACAGACCUGCGCUUUCGGCGGGGCUGGUCCCAGCCCAACAGCGCGAUCAAGACCACCUUCCUCAACGUUGGUCUCAUUGUUGAAAGAGCCUACGCUGCCAUCUUGACUAUUUGUUAUUGCAUUUCGCUCCAAAACUUCAUUUGAGGGAAAUUAUAUUAUAGGCUCUCACAAUUAAUUUGUGGAUGUCAUCGAAUAAAUAAUAUACUUGGCAAAUAAAUUAAUAAAACAUUUAAAGAAA